GGAGGCAGCCGGAAGAGCAGGCGGAGCCGAAGGAGGCGGUGGCUGCAACACCAGGCUGCUAUCCGUCAAGUUUCCACUUUUGACUUCAUUCACCCGCCCUAGAGGCAUUCUACUUUACUUCUCUGGUAAGGAUAGGACUCAGAGAAGUCGUCCAGAGGGUCAAUCCAAACAUGAUGAUUUCCCUCCCUCCCAGCCUCUCCCGUACAAUGGGAUCCUGCUGGGGUGCCACGUCUGAGGGGUCAGAGGUGACUCCGAGCUCCUUCAGGGGCCCAGGCCAGCCAGGCUGCAUUGCAGAGGAUCAAGCAUGCAUCAGAGCCCCACCAAAGGCCCCUGCUAAGAAUGCAGGUCAGCUGGAGGAGUUGCAAGGGGAGGAGGGAGGGCCCGGGCCCUGCCCAGACAAGCCCAGCCGGCCCUACAGCUGCCCUCCUGUCCCUGGAGGCAGAUAUGGGAAAAGGAGGGGACUCACUAGGUUUCUGGGGUCUAAUUCCCCCAGAACCAGGAAAACAAAAGAGGCGCCCUGCAGGAGAGCCUCAGGCAGGCCGUCACAGGUAAACAAGAUUCUGAACUGUUAAAUUCAGCAACCGAUGGAAACAGGCUCCCCCUCUCCCGCCACCCCUACCAGUCUAGGUUUUCUCCACAGCCCCUAAAUCGUCCUGAUGCCCCUUUCCAACUUUCCCUGAAAACUCUAGGCCCCCAAAUUUCUCAGACGGAUGAUGGGAUGGGCCAUCCUGAGAGCCAGAUUUGGCAGGAGAAAUUGGGUUAGGGGUCAUAAGGGAUAGGAACGCCAAGAUGAGAAAACAAUAGAUUCAAAGAAAAGCAAGUUAAAGGUACACUAGGUAGUGCACGGUGACCAACCUUAUCCUACAUAUACGAGAAAACAAAACGAAUUCCCUGUCACCUUCCACGCACCGGUCCUCUGGAGUCAUGAGACUUUUUCUCACUGACAUGAAUAAGGCACCAACAGUGGAUGGGCAUUUCCAGUCUCUCUGAAGAUAGUGAGUCCCGUGAGGGUGCGUCUGUGCACCCUGUGGUUGAGUAACCCUGGCAGGUUUCUCGCUUUGAGUAGUGGUAGCAACCUUUCCUUCACGGUUUCCAGCUGGGCAGCUGCCCAUCAGAUAUCUUGGCUGCCUUUCAUCGCCUUGUCUCUGAUAGGGAUCACCCUAGGUGAAGAAAUCACUGUCAGUCACCCCCCCACCUCCCUCACAGCCAGAGGGACCGGCUGACAUGCAUGCUCCCAUGGGGGUGGGGGUGGGGAGAGGGACCUUUAGGGACGUGGGACUUCUAUGGAAAGAAUCAUCUAGAAACAUCUCAUGUCCACAGAUGAACACCAAGAGACUACAGAGCCAGAGGGAGCCAUUCCUUCCAGGAUAGGAUUAGAUCUGAGCUCUGAUCUCAUCUCAGAUCUUUCCAACUGAAAAGAGGUGACGCUUGACCAAAGAUCCCCCUACCCAGUCCUCACUGCAGAGGGAUGGAGUCGAAAUAGGAGGCUGAACUGAAAGACAAACAAAGCAAGAGUGUGGUUGGUUGAUGACUUUAUUGUUGCAUAAAAAACACAGGCUGUUUCUGCCUCCUCCUCGCCCCCAAGUGGGUUCACAGCAGUUAAAGAAAAAAAAAAAAAUCCUACAUUUUCCUCUAGAGGGGCUGCCUGGAAGGACAGGCAGCUGAGAAACCUAGAUUUGAUAAAGAGCAGGCCAGACAAAAACCUAUCCGAGCCCCACCUGCAGACCUUAGGGUUCAAGGCCUCUAUAAGGGGAGCAUCUCCGUGCCCCCUAAUACUCCAUGGAGGAGUUCCCCCUAAGCAUGGUCACUGAAAAAAGGUUGUCUUGGUAGCGCAGGGAGAGGUGGCUAGUUUCGAUGGGUGGAGAAGAAGGCAUCCCACACCCACGGUGCCCUCCUUUCAGCCCCUCUGCACCUAGCUAGGCAACCUGCAGGGCAUGGCCAAUUUCGCUCUUGCCUGCAGCCUUCUUUGUAAGAAAGGGAACCUCUGGCUAGGUUCACAGGAGGUGGGGAAAGAGGGAGAACACAGAAAGAACCUUAUUCUUAAACUAUCUCAGGCCCCUAAGUCCCACAGGGAGUCACUCUGUCCCUUCUAAGGAGGAGGCCUUUCUACACAAACAUAUUCCUACCCAGAUCCCAGCCCCUACUUCCCAUACAGGUCCCAGUCCUUGGACUGGGCUCCAGCAUCCCCCAGAGAGGAAGAUGCUGAGGUUCUUGUCCCCAGGUCUUGGAUGGGGUGAACAACAAGAUGGGGUCUCAGGAGACCCCAGGCUCAGUAGAGAAACACAUACAUGCACACAUACAGGUGCAGACAACACACGCAUACACACACUCACACCCUAAUUAUUAAAUAAAAUACCCUUUGCUUAUAACUUAAAAAUCAACACACAGCUAUUCCCUGCAGAGGGUUCUGGGUGGAGAGAAGAGAGCAAGAGUGGGGUCGGAGGGUCUCAAGGCCUCUACCUCAAACCUGAGAGUGCCCCCAGCCCCAGGGUCCUGCAGUCUGCCAGGCAGAAGUCUACCCUCUCAUCCUAUGAUCAAAACCCAAAUGUAUCUCUAGAAUCUAAAGAAGGGGACAGAGAGACAGCUUCCCAGAAUCCCUUCCAGUGGGGGAACAAUAUUCUUCACAUGGAAGGAGAUUUUCUACUGGGGAGGACUCUAUAGCAAUGGAGGGAACACGGAAAGGAAGGGUCAAGCUAAGAAAGAGAGGGAAGGGGAGUCCAGGCAGGGUUUUCUGCUGUAAUCCUUCUGCUAGGACAACCCCUCUCCCUUCCACCCCCAACAGGAAAGCAAGGGAUGGGGACCUGGGAGUGGGUUGGGGGUUGUUUUGUCAACUCUGGAGCUAGUGCUGGCAGCUGACUUCAGGAAACUACCUAGGGGAAUGGAUGGGGAAUGUGGAUUGCUGAGUUUGCUUUCUUUUACAAGGUCUAAGAGUUAAGGAUUGAAUUCGAGUUGAAAGGAGCGGCUAGCUCUUCCACUUUGUAAGAGGAUUUUUCUGCUGGAUCCCUCCCCUAUGCCAUCCAGCUCUGACCUCCAGCUCAAAGCCCUGGCUGCAGAGCUGAGCUGAUCUCUACCAUCCAGAAGGGUUUAGAAGAAACUCACCAAAGGGAGUUCUUUCUAUACUAAUAACCCUCCAAGCUAGGUAGACAGCCUCUUAAGGGGAACCACCCCAGGCUUCCCCACACACACACCUCAUCUCUGCUUUCUCUCCGGAAACUUUAGAGGGAGCAGCACCAGAAGAGGGGAUGAAAGAGACCUAGGCUGAAGGGCGGCUCCAAGGUGCUUUUAUGUCCGGGUUCCCAGGAACUAAAGACGUGUCCAGACAGCUUCCCCCAACGCCCCGACCCAAUCUCGAUUUCCCUCAGCUUCUGGGACAUGCCAUCUCUACUAUGCGAACCCCUCCACAUGGUAGGGGCGCUCCAUCCCAACUCUUAGCAACUCAGGGGAGGGUGAAAUAGUGAGAAAGGGAAGAAGCAAGGGGCGUGUUCAGCUCCUGGCAGCCUAAAUAUCCAAGCAGCCUCCCAUGUAGCCCCCGAGACUAAAAACCCCUAGCGUCCCUUUCCCUGUCCUCUCAUCACCGAUAAAUAACCACCUUCCUCUUACUCAGGCCGCCCCCUUCCCCCUGCCCCCCAAAUAAAGAACAGCAGGGAUGCGACAUCCAUGGGGCUCAGUUGGAGGACGCUGAGCUGCCUUCGGCCUCACGUUUGCCUUUGCCCCCGGGUGGCUCCACCACGCCACCGGCCUUGCCCUCGCCCUGGGCCGCCGCCGCAGCCUCCUCUUUGGCGCCUUCGUGGGUUUUCAUGUGCUUGGCCAGGUGGUCGCUGCGCAUGAAGACUCGGCUGCAGACCGCACAGGGGAACUUCUUGGUCCCGGUGUGGGUCUGAAGGUGGCGCUGCAGCUCAUCGGAGCGCGUGAAGCGCUUGCCGCAGAAAAGCCAGUUGCACACGAAGGGUCGGUCGCCGCUGUGCCACCGCAGGUGCGCCUUCAGGUGCGACGUCUUUGCGUAUGCCUUGCCGCAGCCUGGGAUGUGGCAGUUGUGCAAAUGCUUCUUCUUGCCCCCAUCGGGCCCGCACGGAGCCCCGAGUCGCUCCGCCUCCAGGCAGUUGGGACAGCGACACACGGUCUGCCCUGAGCUGCGGGGAACAGAUCGCCGGGAGCCUUUGGGUCGGGCCGCUGCAUCUAGACUGGAAUCCAGCCCUUGGGACUCUGGUGCGGCCGCUUCCAAGGCCUUAGCCCCGUCGGGUGGCCCCAGAAGGUGCUGCCCACCAGCGGCUGGGAGGAGGUGGUGCGGGUGCGGGUGGGGCGGCGGAGCACAGAGCUGGUGGUCUCCGACGUAUCCUCCCAAAGCAGGCUGAAGCGCCCCCGGAUGGCUAGGUGAGGUCAGCGCUCCCUGAGUAUGGGGGAGGUCCAUCCAGCUAGUGCCGGGAUGAAGGUCCCACCACGAGCCAUCCUCCGUGCCUGGGUGAGUCGGCCGGAACCACGAUUCAUAGUGGUGUGACAUGUCCGGCUGCAGGAGCUUGGAAAAAGGUCCCGGUGCCAAGGGACUGUCACUUUCCAGGUCCUCGCAGGUUACCCGCGAGGAGGCCCCUGGCAACUCAUAGCCCUGUGAGAAGUCUACCUCAGGGCCCAGCGGGAGGCUCUGCAGCUCUCCAGGCUGCAGCGGGGAGGGGUAGUCCCCAGCCUCCGGGCUCGUGUGGCCCUGGUAUGUCUGGAGAGGCUGCAGGUCGAGGCGCGGCGGUGAAGCGUGAGGCGCGUCGGUGUGCUGGCUGCCCAGAGAGCCACAGACAGCGGUUAGCAUUGCCGGGAUCCGGGGUGGAAUGAAGGCAGGGACGGUCAAGGGUACCUCAGAUGGAACCUAGAAGACGCAAGGAUGAGAUAGCCAAUCCCAGACCUGCUGUACCACCGAUGUGGAAAGGCAUUUAACCUUGCUACACACUCCCCUGCUCCCUGACUAGCUUGGUUGGCCCACUCCCUCACCCACCUCCUUUUCCCUCCAUAUGAAGCUGGGAGGGGUGGAAUUACCACAGAAGGAGAUCACCCAGAGAUGCUUGUUAGACACUCAGUCAAAUCUAACCGCAGCUCCCUAAGGGAGACAGCACCCGAGCUUGAAGGAUCCCUUAACCCAGAACUCAAGGGCAAGCAGGGGAGGGGGAGCGGGGAGGGGACGGGACAUAUAGGCACCUCUAAUGUCCAGCCAAGUAUUCUGAGCUAGUGUCCAGAGCCUGCUCUCAUUUAAAGCAAGCUGAACUUGGAUCAGUGACUAGAAUAAAAUGUUCAUUUAAUUAUUC
ensembl:processed_transcript Gm11532 predicted gene 11532